UAUUCGUUAGUUGCCAUCAUUCAGUUGGGCACGUCUAGCGAGACUGCCGGUAAUAAACCGGGAGGAAGGUGGGGAUGGACGUCAAAUCAUCAUGCCCCUUAUGACCUGGGCUACACACGUGCUACAAUGGUUGGUACAACGAGUUGCGAGUCGGUGACGGCGAGCUAAUCUCUUAAAGCCAAUCUCAGUUCGGAUUGUAGGCUGCAACUCGCCUACAUGAAGUCGGAAUCGCUAGUAAUCGCGGAUCAGCACGCCGCGGUGAAUACGUUCCCGGGCCUU
rnacentral:rRNA from 1 species